AUGGGGCGUGGCCAAGUGGUAAGGCAACGGGUUUUGGUCCCGCUAUUCGGAGGUUCGAAUCCUUCCGUCCCA
rnacentral:tRNA from 1 species